rnacentral:lncRNA from 1 species
UUGAGAGCACUUGAGCUUUGAAAGUAUGGAGAGCUUUAUUAAGUUUCCAACCUUCCUCUUGUAUGUUCUUGUUGUUCUUGUAUGUUACAAAUGAUGAAUAGAGGGGGUAUUUAUAGGCUUCCCACCUCCUCAACUUGUGGCUAGAAUUCAUUCUUUUAGAAUUCUCUACAAGCUACCUAUGUACAAGGCUUCCUUUGGAAGCUACUCUAUGUACAAACAAGGGAAGCUUCUAGGCAGCUCCUUGGCUUGGCACAAAGCUUUGCAUCCUCCAACAAUCUCUAGAUCCUUCCCUUGGUUUCCUUGGGCAGCUAACUUGGGCUAGGCUGCAACAUUGGGCUGGGCAUAUGUUGGACAUAUUUCUGCCUAUGGACAGCCUUGCCUUGCCUAAGAUGAGGCAGGUUGUGACACCCUCCCCCACUCAAUCUCGCGACAUCCUCCUCGCGCCUUGAGCUUUGUAAUUUUGGAUAUGCUCGGGGAAUUGCCAUAGCAAAUCUUCACGUUCCCACAUAGCCUCGGUGUCGGGCAAAUUUUUCUACUUCACCAAGUAUUCGUUGUAGUUGGGAACUCCUUUUCUUCUUAUCACUCUAUCCGCAAGGAUGCAUUCAAUCUCCUUGUCGAAUUCGGUGAUAACGGUUGUUGGAGCUCUUCUAGAUUCGCCACGGCUAGGGUCUUCCUUGUCUUCGUGGUAUGACUUAAGCAUACUCACCUGGAAGAAAUUAUGGAUUUUUAGUCUCGAAGGCAGUUGGAGCUGGUAGGCAGCAGCACCAACGCAUUUCACGACUGGGAACGGGCCUUCAUAUCGCCUUACCAAGCCUUUGUGUACUUUGCGGAGGGACUUGAACUGAUUAGGCAGUAAUUUCACCAUCACCAAGUUGCCAGCACUGUAUUCCUUGGGGCGUCUCUUCACGUCAGCCCACUUCUUCAUGCGCUUUGCUGCUUUGUCGAGGCAUGCCCUUGUUAUGUCCGCCUCUUCGUGCCAUUCCCUUGCAAACUUAUAGGCGGAAGGGUUGGCUCCUCCAUAGCCAGCAACAAUGGCAUUUGGCAUUAAUGGCUGCUGUCCCAUAAUGACUUCGAAAGGACUCUUACCCGUGGACUUGCUCCUUUGGAGGUUGUAUGAGAAUUGAGCCAUGUCAAGCAGUUUUGCCCAAUCUCGCUGGUGAGCACUAACAUAGUGCCUUAAGUAGAGUUCUAGCAAGGCAUUAAUCCUUUCCGUUUGGCCGUCGCUUUGCGGAUGAAAGCUUGUGGAGAAGUUAAGGUCUGUGCCCGGCAACUUGAACAACUCUCGCCAGAACUUGUCGGUAAACCGAGGGUCUCUAUUGCUGAUUAUACUCUUCGGUAAGCCCCACAGCUUCACAACAUUCUUGAAGAAAAGGUGAGCUGCCUCGUCUACCUUGCAAUCCGCCGGGGCAGGGAUAAAAGUAGCAUACUUGCUAAAUCUAUCCACGACAACCAUGAUACUUCCAAACCCUUCGAAUUUUGGCAGGGCCACAAUGAAGUCCAUCGAGACAAUCUCCCACAGACUUUCAGCGAUGGGAAGAGGUUCAAGUAGACCAGCAGGCUGUUGUUGUUCCACCUUGUCUUGUUGGCAUACAAGGCAGGUCCGAACAUAGGCCUCCACAUCGUCCUUAAGUUGCAGCCAGUAGUAGUUUUGCUGGACUAACGCAAGUGUGCGAGUCAUGCCGGGAUGUCCAGCCCACAUCGAGUCAUGGCACUCCUUCAGAAUUUCUCUCUGCAGAUUUCCCUACUUCGGCAGAUAGACUCGAUUGCCAACGGUGAGGAUAAGGCCAUCUUUCUCCUAGAAUCGUCAAGUUUUUCCCUCGAUCGCCAGCUUGAUGAUGCUCUUGGCCAAAGUGUCUUACUGCAUUCCUUCCUUGAUGUGGUUAAGGAAGUCGCUCUUCGGCGUGCUAGUAGCAAUGGAAGCCAACUCCGCCUUUCUACUCAAUGCAUCAGCGACAACGUUGGCUUUGCCUGGCUUAUAUUCAAGCUUGUAGUCGAAUUCGGCCAAGAAAUCUUGCCAGCGUGCUUGCUUAGGACUCAACUUCUUUUAAGUUUGGAAAUAGCUUGUAGCUACAUUGUCCGUCAAAAUAGUGAACUUGCUGCCGAGCAAGUAGUGUCUCCAUGUGUGCAAGCAGUGGACGACGACGGUCAUUUCCUUCUCUUGGACAGUAUACCGCCUCUCCGUUUUGUUGAGCUUGCAACUCUCAUGGUCGAUAGGGUGCCUAUCUUGCAUGAGGACGCCUCCAAUGGCAUAGUCUGAGGCAUCCAUGUGCACCUCAAAUGGUUUUCCGUAGUCGAGCAGCAUCAUGACAGGCUCCAUUGACACAACAUCCUUCAAGGCUCCGAAUGCAGCUUGGCAUUCCUCACCCCAAUUCCAUACCUUAUUCUUCUUGAGUAGUUCCAUCAAUGGAGCGGCAAUGGCAGAAUAGCCUUUAAUGAACCGCCGAUAAUAGUUCACCAGCCCAAGAAAAGAUUGCAACUCGGGCACUUUAGAAGAAGGUUGCCAUUCUUGGAUGGCUUUAACUUUUGCUGGAUCCAUCAUCAACCUGCCAUCCUUGAUUCGAUGGCCAAGGAACUCCACUUCUUCUCUCGUGAAUGAGCAUUUCUCGCGCUUCACGUACAGCUCGUGUUCACGGAGUACUUGGAAAACUUGCUUGAGGUGUUGCACAUGCUCCUCAAGACUGUUGCUGUGCACAACAAUGUCAUCCAAAUAAACAACCAUGAACUUAUCAAGAAAGGGAUGGAGUACCUGGUUCAUGAGUGUGCAGAAAGUGGCAGUGGCAUUAGUGAGGCCGAAAGGCAUGACCAAAAACUCAAAAGCUCUAUAUCGCGUCACACCUGCUGUCUUCGGCACAUCACCAAGUGCGAUGCGGACUUGGUAGUAACCAGACCGCAAAUCCAGCUUUGAGAAAUAUCGAGCCUUCCCCAAUUGAUCGAACAAGUUGGCAAUCAAGGGGAUUGGAUACUUGUUCUUGAUGAUAAUCUUGUUUAAAGUCCGAUAAUCUAUGCACAUCCGUAACGAACCGUCCUUCUUCUUUUGAAAGAGGACUGGCGCACCAUAUGGGGCCUUCGAUGGCUGGAUAUAGCCCGAAUCAAGUAGGUCUUGGAGCUGUUUCCUCAAUUCAGCCAGCUCCGGAGGUGCCAUGCGAUAGGGUGCCAUGGCAGGAGGUUUAGCACCAGGCUCGAGCUUAAUGUGGUGAUCCACAUCUCGCUUUGGUGGAAACUUUUGCGGCAGCUUCGGUGGCAUCACAUCCUUGUAUUCGUCAAGGACUGCUUCGAUGGAUUGUGGCAAAUGCGGGGCAAACUGCUCAACAUCGUCCUCGUCGUUGAGCUCCCUCAUGGUUGCGACGUAACACUCCCCGUUCUUGAGACCCCACUUGAAUUGCAAGGCAGAAAUCAUAGCGGGUUUAGAUCUCACCAUGCUCUUCAAGAGGAUCACUCGAAGCUUGAAAGCGUCAAGGAUCACUAGAGAGCUCAUGGAAGGGACUGGAAUGGCAUAGGCUUUGUAGAAGAAUGCUAGACCAAAGACAGUUUUAAAAUCAUCCAUAGGCACAACAGUAAAGUCUACCGUACCUUGCCAAUCACCAACUUUCACCUUCACAUUUUCCACAAUGCCAUAUACAGGCUUUGCCUCUGAAUUGACAACCUUAAUUAAUCGUGCCGACCUCUUUGGACAGCUUCAGGCCUAGGCGCUUCGCCUCGUGCACAUCCAUGAAGUUGUGCGUAGCACCCGUAUCAAGCAUGGGGCAGGCAGCUUUGCCCUCAAUGAAAGCGUCGACGUAAAGCAAGCCUCUCUCAUUGGAGACGGAACGAGAGAGGAGCUUUGAUAGCGCACCUAGAUGCUGUAGAGAACCCAUACCAGCUUGGGGUUCUUCUUGGCAGUUAUCUUUGUUGAAUUCUACCACGAUGGCAUUUAUCGCCUUUCGAUUUGGGCAGUCCCUCACCUAGUGUGGUCCAUCGUAAAUGAAGCAAGGCUUGGGCGGCUUAGAGGCAGCAGGUUUCUCCUUGUGGGAUGAGCCUUUGCCGUGUUUUGAGUUGCCGCCAGAGGACUUCUGGUAGCCACUCUCCUUGCCUUUAUUGAAGUCCCUCUUUUGGCCUCCCCCACUCUUGGAAGAGCUAGACUUCUUGCCCUUGUCUUAAGUAGAGUAGUCCUUGAGGUUCUCCACUGCGGCAAUUGCUUCAUUAAGGGUCUGAACUCCGCGUCGCUCGAGCUCUAUCUUCACCUAAUCUUUCAACCCAUCCUUGAAAUCAAAGAGGAGUUGAUCGUCGGUUAGGUCUGGAAUCUCUAGCAUGAGAGUCGUGAACUUCUUGAUGUACUAGACAAUGCCUCCUGUUUGCCUUAGCCUACGCAGCCUGCUUCGAACCUCAUCGUUGGUGUUAUGAGGCACAAAUUGCUUGCGGAGCUCGGUCUUGAACUGUUCCCAUGUGUUGAUUAUGUAAAGCCCCUUCUCCCUAUCGGAAUGUUUCCUUCUCCACCAGAGUUGGGCGGAAUCCUUUAGGAAGAUGGCAGUGUUGCUAAUCUUCGAGAAGUCAUCUGUGACGUUCAUCGCCUCGUAGUAUUGUUCAAGCCCGAACAAGAAGUUUUCCACCAUAGUGGCGUUGCGUGUGCCAUUGUACAUGGCAAGCUUAGGGACUUUCAAUCCGUGCGGGGCAGCGGAACUAGUAGUGGCAGCUGUGCUUGUCGAGGGUGGACUACCUCGACGAAGAGCAUCCAUCUCCCUACGAAGCUCUUUCAGCUUAUCUCAUAGGGUCUUUUGCUGGUCGGCGAACUCCUCCCUAAGGGAGCAUAGUUCUCCCCGAAAGUCUUUGCUAAGAUCUUCGAUCAUGGCCUUGGCAGCCCUUGUGAUCUCCAUGUUUUCGUGGAUGAGGUUGUUAGCCUGAUCACUAAGCUCGCCAACAAUCGAAGUCACGCUAGCCAAAUCUUUCUCAAGGCUAGCAACUCUGGACUCCACAGGCUCGCCGCUGGAGCCUUGGAUUUGCCCUGUCUAGGCUGUGAUUGUUGUUCCUCACGCCCACGGGUCUGUUCAGUGCGUUGCUCUUCCACCGCAGCAGCCACAAUUCCUUCCUCGCUUGCCAUCACUCGAAUCACUUCCACCAGCGGUACCUAGGAUUCAAACCGUUGCUCUAAUACCACCUGUCACGAAACUUCAGCUUAGAGGUUAGCUAAGUCGCGUGGCACGUAGUUAACUUGCUUGACGAAGUUGAACUAAGUAAGCCUUGAUGAGAGUUGGGAGCAAUUUUAGGUGAGCAAAGUAGGCAGCAGGGGUUUAGGACUUGGGUCGGGUAGAGAGUUGGGAGCACUUGAGCUUUCAAAGUAUGGAGAGCUUUAUUAAGUUUCCAACCUUCCUUUUAUAUGUUCUUGUUGUUCUUGUAUGUUACAAAUGAUGAAUGGAGGGGGUAUUUAUAGGCUUCCCACCUCCUCAACUUGUGGCUAGAAUUCAUUCUUCUAGAAUUCUCUACAAGCUACCUAUGUACAAGGCUUCCUUUGGAAGCUACUCUAUGUACAAACAAGGGAAGCUUCUAGGCAGCUCCUUGG